rnacentral:rRNA from 1 species
UACGAAGGGGGCGAGCGUUGUUCGGAAUUACUGGGCGUAAAGGGCGCGUAGGCGGCGCAACAAGUCACUUGUGAAAUCUCCGGGCUUAACCCGGAGCGGCCAAGUGAUACUGUCGUGCUAGAGUGCGGAAGGGGCUACUGGAAUUCUCGGUGUAGCGGUGAAAUGCGUAGAUAUCGAGAGGAACACCUGCGGCGAAGGCGGGUCUCUGGACAGUUCCUGACACUGAGGCACGAAGGCCAGGGGAGCAAACGGG